GAAUGCUGACAUAAGUAACGAUAAAGCGGGUGAAAAGCCCGCUCGCCGGAAGACCAAGGGUUCCUGUCCAACGUUAAUCGGGGCAGGGUGAGUCGACCCCUAAGGCGAGGCCGAAAGGCGUAGUCGAUGGGAAACGGGUUAAUAUUCCCGUACUUGGUGUUACUGCGAAGGGGGGACGGAGAAGGCUAUGUUGGCCGGGCGACGGUUGUCCCGGUUUAAGCGUGUAGGUGUGUGUUCCAGGUAAAUCCGGUUCACUUUAACACUGAGGCGUGAUGACGAGGCACUACGGUGCUGAAGUAACAAAUGCCCUGCUUCCAGGAAAAGCCUCUAAGCAUCAGGUAACAUCAAAUCGUACCCCAAACCGACACAGGUGGUCAGGUAGAGAAUACCAAGGCGCUUGAGAGAACUCGGGUGAAGGAACUAGGCAAAAUGGUGCCGUAACUUCGGGAGAAGGCACGCUGACACGUAGGUGAAGUGAUUUACUCACGGAGCUGAAGUCAGUCGAAGAUACCAGCUGGCUGCAA
rnacentral:rRNA from 1 species